rnacentral:rRNA from 1 species
GAUGAACGCUAGCGGGAGGCUUAACACAUGCAAGUCGAGGGGUAUUGUAGCAAUACAUUAGACCGGCGCACGGGUGAGUAACGCGUAUGCAACCUGCCGUUAACCGGGGGAUAGCCCGUCGAAAGGCGGAUUAAUACCCCAUAAUAUUGGGAUUCUGCAUGGGAUUUCAAUUAAAGCUGAGGUGGUUAACGAUGGGCAUGCGUGACAUUAGAUAGUUGGUAGGGUAACGGCCUACCAAGGCUACGAUGUUUAGGGGUUCUGAGAGGAAGGUCCCCCACCCUGAUACUGAGACACGGACCAGACUCCUACGGGAGGCAGCAGUGAGGAAUAUUGGUCAAUGGGCGAGAGCCUGAACCAGCCAUCCCGCGUGCAGGAAGACGGCCCUAUGGGUUGUAAACUGCUUUUGCGCAUGAAGAAUGUUACCGACGUGUCGGUAAGUGACGGUAAUGCGUGAAUAAGCAUCGGCUAACUCCGUGCCAGCCGCCGCCGUAACAC